CCCUUAGAUGUUCGGGGCCGCACGCGCGCUACACUGAUGAAAUCAACUGGUUUUAUCGUCCUGGUCCGGCAGGAUUGGGUAAUCCGUUGAACUUUCGUCGUGCUUGGGAUAGAGAUUUGCAAUUUUCUCUCUUGAACGAGGAAUUCCCAGUAAGUGCGAGUCAUCAGCUCGCGUUGAUUACGUCCCUGCCCUUUGUACACACCGCCCGUCGCUACUACCGAUUGGGAAAAUUUUAGAGAGUCCUGGACUGAUGAUUGUUCGGCUUCACGGCCUUACUUUCGUCGGGAAAGAAUUCGAUAAUAUUUUUCUAGAGGAAGUAAAAGUCGUAACA
rnacentral:rRNA from 1 species